UACUCGAGUGGCGAACGGGUGAGUAACACGUGGGUGAUCUGCCCUGCACUCUGGGAUAAGCCUGGGAAACUGGGUCUAAUACCGGAUAGGACCAUGCUUUAGUGUGUGUGGUGGAAAGUUUUUUAGGUGUAGGAUGAGCCCGCGGCCUAUCAGCUUGUUGGUGGGGUAAUGGCCUACCAAGGCGGCGACGGGUAGCCGGACUGAGAGGUUGGUCGGCCACAUUGGGACUGAGAUACGGCCCAG
rnacentral:rRNA from 1 species